AGCGAACGCUGGCGGCAGGCCUAACACAUGCAAGUCGAACGAACCUUUCGGGGUUAGUGGCGGACGGGUGAGUAACACGUGGGAACGUGCCUUUAGGUUCGGAAUCACUCAGGGAAACUUGUGCUAAUACCGAAUGUGCCCUUCGGGGGAAAGAUUAAUCGCCUUUAGAGCGGCCCGCGUCUGAUUAGCUAGUUGGUUGAGGUAAUGGCUCACCAAGGCGACGAUCAGUAGCUGGUCUGAGAGGAUGAUCAGCCACAUUGGGACUGAGACACGGCCCAAACUCCUACGGGAGGCAGCAGUGGGGAAUCUUGCGCAAUGGGCGAAAGCCUGACGCAGCCAUGCCGCGUGAAUGAUGAAGGUCUUAGGAUUGUAAAAUUCUUUCACCGGGGACGAUAAUGACGGUACCCGGAGAAGAAGCCCCGGCUAACUUCGUG
rnacentral:rRNA from 1 species